UGUAGGCUAGAAUGAAUGAAUAUACGAGGUUAAAGCUGUCUCUAAUUUAUUAAAUAUAAAUUGUUUUUUGAGUGAAGAAACUCAAAUAUUAACAUAGGACAAAAAGACCCUAUUGAUCUUUACUUUAAUAUGGAAUUUAGGAAUAAAAUAACUGUAAUACAUUAUAAAGUUUGGUUGGGGCAACAAAGAAAUAAAUAAAUUUUUCUUUAAUAUAUAGAAUUAUUAUUCGUUUUAAAGAUCUACAAUAGUAAAUAGAAGAAAAAGUUACCAUAGGGAUAACAGGCUAAUUCUUUUGGAGAGUUCAUAUUGAUAAAAGAGUUUGGCACCUCGAUGUUGGCUUAGAAUAACCUGUAGGUGUAGCAGCUUACAAGGGUUAGUUUGUUCAACUAUUAAAAUUC
rnacentral:rRNA from 1 species